GGAGAUAUUCGUAUGUUUUUAAGUGUGAUGCAGGUGUGUGUGUGUGUAUUUCUGGAAGGCAGUGAGGAAUGGGUUCAUGUGAGGAUAAAUGUGUGUUUGCUAAUAGGCCCAAUAAAAAGGGAUUUCUGCCUAUAAUGAUUUUAAAAUGUGAAUAAUUAAUAUUUGUGUUGUGUUGUCUUCUUUAAGAUGCAAAGGAAAUAAGGAUUCAGUCUGUUUGUAAUGAUGAACAUGUUUCUGACUGCUCUGCUCUUCUUUAACAGGGAGUCUCAUCUCUGAAGAACUGCAUUCUGGGUAUGGAGAUGCUGAUGAGCUGCUCUCAGGUUCGAGAGAUGACUCAAAUCCUUUUUAAAGAAUUCAUCUAAAUAAAUAAAUUCUGUUACAUAUUUGAUUAAUGACUCAAUACUAUUCAAAUACUGCUGUUUAGUUAUAUAUUAACAGUCUGCUCUCCUUUUUAGCAAACAAAUUCAAGACUGCAUAUUAUGAUGAUGUCACCAAUGGCAGUGGCCUAAAAGUGGACACACCAGAGCAUUAUGAUGAUGUCAUCAUUAUUGGACAGAAUUUUCAAGGUGUAAGGGAGUUAGAUCAGGAGGAGUAUGAUGAUGUGAAGAACAGCAAUGGAAAUGAAAGAGACCUGUUGGACUAUGAUAAUGUGGAGGAGGGGUCAAAUAAAGAGGGAGGAGCCAUAUGAGUGACCACACCCACUGCCUCUGUUCUUAUGCUAUUUUAAAUAUUUUUGUAUCAAAGGUUACAUGCUUUGCAAAAUUCAUUAUCAACAAAGUUUAAUAUUUGUAUUUUAGUAUUUGGCCUCUUAUUUCUAUUUUGAUAUCAAUGCUUUUCACCUAAUAAAACAAAAUAUAUCAUUCAUUCAUCAUGUCAGAAAAAUACUUUUUAUAAGAGCGGUCAGAGAAAAGAAGAAAUUAUGCUAUAAAUGUUUAAGGAAACACUUUUAGGCACUUCAGCGGCUGAUGACAUUAUCGACCUAAAUAAAAUGAUAAAAAUAGAUUUACCACUUAAUAGAUAUUACAAAGCUUUGUGUUGUUCCACAAGCUUACUGCCAUAGCAUUAGUUCUGUACUGUCUGCCUGAAUUAACGUUAUUGGAGCAUAAUUUAAUAUUUUAUUUACAAGAAAUAUUACUGGGAAAGACAAAGGUAUGCAAAGGUAUUCACAUCUUAGAGGUCAGAAAACACUCACCCAAACUGCACAGUUUAUUGUGUGAUGGUCCAUUUUAACUUUACAGUCUGAUUGUAUGGAUGACACUCAAUAUUUGUUCUGAGCUUGAAUCUUUUGCAGCAAUAGCUCCAUAUGCAGAUUGAGGUUGGGCUUUGUACCCUUUUGGUUUUUUUUUUUUUUCUUUUACCGUAUUGGUAGGUUGGUCUUCGUACCGUUUUGUUUUUUUUUUUUUUUUUUUCCAACAACUGAUAUGUUGCUAUUUUUCUUUUCCUUAUAUUUUCUUAAGAGCCUCCUCUCGCUGAGCUUUGUCUUUCAAAAAUUCCUACACAGACACGCAUAAUAAAACAUGCAUCAAUCAUUUGCCAAAGAAUGUAAAGGAUGAUUAAAAUGUGUUGGUUUACAUGACAUAACGAGUCUUCCUUAAUGACAUCACAAAGGAGAUUCAUUAGGUAAUAGAAAACUGUACAGUUUCUAUUUCCUCACCUCUCUUUUUCGUGCAUGUUCCUCCAUACUUUCAAAUUCUAGUUUUGUCUUCUGAUACGAUGACAUUCUCUGCUUCCUUUGGAUGAAUGGAGUUUAGUGGGAGCUGAUGACAAAUCAAAAAUCAGAAAUGUGGCUUUUGUGUGUGUGUGUGUGUGUGUGUGUGUGUGUGUGUGUGUGUGUGUGUGUGUAUAUAUUAUUUUUUUUUCCUUACUAGCUGUUACUGUACCUGUCAGUCUAUGCUGGUUCAUUAUCUGAAUCAGAGACGGUAGUUUGGUCAGUCGUUGUGUUUGAGAUGUGUUUCUCAGUAAAAGGUAAAUCCAACACUGUUUUUAGUUCAUCAUC
rnacentral:lncRNA from 1 species